rnacentral:misc_RNA from 1 species
GCUUAACAUUGAGACCAACAAAAACUAACAACAGGGAAAGGGAGAAGGUAGAUUUUUGAUAGAGAUUCGUUUUGCAACACGGUCUGCAGUGAAGGAGCCUGUUGCAUCUGCCGAAGAUGCCACUUCAAAUGGUUCUCCUCUUCCUCCCAAAGAAGAGGUUCCUCCUGCUGGUGACCAGCCUGCCACUGAACCCGAAUCAGCACAAACCUGCCUAAUUGCUGGCAUUACCUUCUUUUUACUAGCCCUUUUCAAUUUUAUAUUUUGUAUGA